GACGAACGCUGGCGGCGUGCUUAACACAUGCAAGUCGAACGAUGACGACCGAGCUUGCUCGGUCUGAUUAGUGGCGAACGGGUGAGUAACACGUGAGCAACCUGCCCUUCACUCUGGGAUAACCUCGGGAAAUCGGGGCUAAUACCGGAUAUGAGCUCCUGUCGCAUGGCGGGUGUUGGAAGUUUUUCGGUGAAGGAUGGGCUCGCGGCCUAUCAGUUUGUUGGUGAGGUAGUGGCUCACCAAGGCGAUGACGGGUAGCCGGCCUGAGAGGGCGACCGGCCACACUGGGACUGAGACACGGCCCAGACUCCUACGGGAGGCAGCAGUGGGGAAUAUUGCACAAUGGGCGAAAGCCUGAUGCAGCGACGCCGCGUGAGGGAUGACGGCCUUCGGGUUGUAAACCUCUUUCAGCAGGGAAGAAGCGAAAGUGACGGUACCUGCAGAAGAAGCGCCGGCUAACUACGUG
rnacentral:rRNA from 1 species